rnacentral:tRNA from 1 species
AUUACUUUGGCAGAUUAGUGCAUUAAAUUUAGAAUUUAAUUAAGAAAUUUUAUUUUAAUUUUCAGGUAGUA